rnacentral:RNase_P_RNA from 1 species
AGAGUAGGCGCAGGUGGUUACAGACUAGUUUCGUUGAGACUGGUUUGAGGAAAGUCCGGGCUCCCGAAAGACCAGACUUGCUGGAUAACUCCCAGUGCGAGCGAUCGCGAGGAUAGUGCCACAGAAACAUACCGCCCUUUUUCAGUGAACAGUGAACAGUCAACAGUGAACAGUCAGUAACUGAUAACUGAUAGCUGAUAACUGGUAACUGAAGAGGGUAAGGGUGCAAAGGUGCGGUAAGAGCGCACCAGCAUGAUCGAGAGAUCAUGGCUCGGUAAACCCCGGUUGGGAGCAAGGCGAAGGAACUAUGGUUGGUCUUUUACCAGUUCCGCUCUCAUAAGAGCCGCUAGAGGCGUUUGGUAACAAACGUCCCAGAUAGAUAACCGCCCUCUUAAAUGUAGAAACGUAAUAUGUUACGUUUUUACAAAAGAGAACAGAACCCGGCUUACGUUCCGACUCUCUCC